rnacentral:rRNA from 1 species
UACGGAGGGGGCUAGCGUUGUUCGGAAUCACUGGGCGUAAAGGGCGCGUAGGCGGGUCGAUAAGUCAGGGGUGAAAUCCCGGGGCUCAACUCCGGGCCUGCCUUUGAAACUGUCGACCUAGAGUGCAGGAGAGGAAGGCGGAAUUCCAGGUGUAGCGGUGAAAUGCGCAGAUAUCAGGAGGAACACCGGUGGCGAAGGCGCCACUCUGGGCCGAAACUGACGCUGAGGAGCGAAAGCGUGGGUAGCAAACAGG